GCCUCUUGGUCUGGGACAACUGUUGGAAACGACAGCUAAUACCGGAUAUUAUGAGAUUCUCGCAUGGGAAACUUAUGAAAGCUAUAUGCGCCAAGAGAGAGCCUUGCGUUCCAUUAGCUAGUUGGUGGGGUAACGGCCCACCAAGGCGACGAUGGAUAGCCGGCCUGAGAGGGUGAACGGCCACAAGGGGACUGAGACACGGCCCUUACUCCUACGGGAGGCAGCAGUGGGGAAUAUUGGACAAUGGGCCACAAGCCUGAUCCAGCAAUUCUGUGUGCACGAUGAAGGUCUUCGGAUUGUAAAGUGCUUUCAGUUGGGAAGAAGAAAGUGACGGUACCAACAGAAGAAGCGACGGCUAAAUACGUGCCAGCAGCCGCGGUAAUACGUAUGUCGCAAGCGUUAUCCGGAUUUAUUGGGCGUAAAGCGCGUCUAGGCGGAAAAAUAAGUCUGAUGUUAAAAUGCGGGGCUCAACUCCGUAUUGCGUUGGAAACUGUUUUUCUAGAGUACUGGAGAGGUGGGCGGAACUACAAGUGUAGAGGUGAAAUUCGUAGAUAUUUGUAGGAAUGCCGAUGGAGAAGUCAGCUCACUGGACAGAUACUGACGCUAAAGCGCGAAAGCGUGGGGAGCAAACAGG
rnacentral:rRNA from 1 species